UAAUGGAGCUAUAAGUUAAAACUUCAAUUGAAAAUAUAAAAAAGUACAUCACAUGAAUUUAAAUAAGAUUACUUAUAAUUCAAACCUUUAUUUGCGUGCAAUUUACUCUACUUAUUUAAUUAAGGAUAUAUUAUAUUUAAAAAUAAAAACAAAUUAAGGAUGCAUUAUUCUUGUAUCUGUAGCACGUGUUUGUCUUGUUAAAUUAUAGCUUGCAUUUUUAUUUUUCAAUGAACAAAAUCAAUGCUAAGUCAAGGAUGCUUGAGAUCUACAAUUCGGAAAACCGAAAUCCAAACCUUUGGACAUAACAAUAUUUUUCAGUGUUAACAAUGUUUCAAAUGUCAGCCGAUGCUGCUGACAGUUUGGUUAGCAUGUGAUGUGAAUUCUUUUGAA
rnacentral:misc_RNA from 1 species